rnacentral:rRNA from 1 species
GUAGGUGGCAAGCGUUGUCCGGAAUUAUUGGGCGUAAAGCGCGCGCAGGCGGUCCUCUAAGUCUGAUGUGAAAGCCCACGGGCUCAACCGUGGAGGGUCAUUGGAAACUGGGGGACUUGAGUACAGAAGAGGAAAGCGGAAUUCCAAGUGUAGCGGUGAAAUGCGUAGAGAUUUGGAGGAACACCAGUGGCGAAGGCGGCUUUCUGGUCUGUAACUGACGCUGAGGCGCGAAAGCGUGGGGAGCAAACAGGAUUAGAUACCCUGGUAGUCCACGCCGUAAACGAUGAGUGCUAAGUGUUAGGGGGUUUCCGCCCCUUAGUGCUGCAGCUAACGCAUUAAGCACUCCGCCUGGGGAGUACGGCCGCAAAGGCUG